GUUCAGCCCAGGUCAGCAAGCCGUGUCUGCAGAUAAAGAGCUAUUCUGGUAAAGUGAGCUCACAGUGGACGUGUAAAUGCAAUAAAACCUAAAAUUUGUAUAAUGUAUACCCAUGACCGAGUCUUCUCUCCCUAAGAAUCAAAGUUUCUAACCUGUUUUUUGAAGUGAUCCUCCUUAAAUUAAAAAAAUAAGACAAAGCUGCAAGUAAACAAAUGGGCCAGUCCAACAUGGAGGCCCUGGCAGCUCUGCCGUGGGGGAGCCUGGUGCUCAGCUGCAGAUGAUGACAGAGCUGAGGAGAGACACCACCCGCCUGCUCACAGCCCCAGCCUGUUAAUCUGAAACUGCUGCACCCCAGUCUUGGGCUGGUUUUUAAAUAGCAAGUGAAGAGGGAAGCCAUGCUUCUGUGGGGACUGAGGGAGCCGAGUCUGAGAUAGCGCAUGGAUGGAAAAGGCUGCUGGGACUGCAGCCCUCCUCUUCCCAUCGCCCAGGUGUUGUGAAUAGGCCCUGUGUGCUUUGGCUUUAAAGGGUGUUUGUUGGAUUUGCCCCAUUGCUCCAGCAGAAGCUGCGCUGCUCAGUAAGACCUCAGAGGAGCACUUCUAGGGUCAUGGGAGUGGGGUUAGUCCCUGGUCCUGAAAAAUAAGGUGGAAUGACCACCUAAAAUGGUCUUUUCCAGACCCGAAGGAGAUCGUGAUUUUAAGCACGGCGAGGCAGGGGCUGUCUCUGAGGCACAGAGAGCCUCUGAUCUCACUGGUGUCCUUGAAGUGAUGUGUUAUAAACAGAAAAGAAGGAGGGAAGAGCCCAGGCCUCAUCGUCAGAGAGCACACAAACUAUUUUUGCAGGCAGGAAACCUUACCAGGCCCAAUAGCUUGGACCUGGAUGUGCCUCUGAGAGGUAGCCAACCUUUCCUAGAACUAACCUUUUGCACUCUUGCUGUUGAAAUCCCCAUGCUGACAUCCUAACCCUGCUGGAGUGCAGCCUUUUCAUUUCUUGGAUGUGCCAGCAAGCUCUUUAUUAUUUUUUUUCCCUUCCCACAGUCGGUCUAUUCAGUCCCUCUCAGAACAGGCUGUCCUGCUGGGACGUUUCAGUGCAAUUAGAUAUUAGGUGUCAGGAGCAGAUAAUGGGCAAACGCGUAUCAGGGGAGAUGGCACUUAGCUAAUCUCUGGCUCUCUUUAUCUAACAGGCUAUUUCAGGGAAAAACAACAACAAUGCAAGAAAGCUCCCACUGUAGCGUCUGUGUCUGAGACUGGCUGCUGGUGCUUUGGGGUUGUGUCGGUAUUUCCACCCAGGCUUCACUUGGUGCUUUCCCAGCAGCCUUGUUUUCACAGCUGCCCCAUGACCAGGCAGGAGCCCGUAAAUGAUUGUAGCCACAGCUCUUGCAAGACCUCGUUGUUGGCACAUCUGUUUUCUGCUGGAUCACUUUGCUGUUGUCUUGGUUGUUUCCCCGGGCAAGCCAAGAACCUAGGUAUGGGAGCGUGUGGGAAAAGGAGAUGAGCUAUUAGGAUAAUUAGCAUCGUCCAUGAAACCUCAUUUUAGAGGCCUGUUACAUCAAAAGUAUUUAGGGUUGAAGUUGCAUCUUUAAGCAUUUUAGUGAGUUUGAGCACUUGACUGUGUAUCUCCAGCAUCUGCCUAGUUUAGGUGUCUUACAUCAUCUUUCUGGGAUCUGUUUCAGAAGCAGGAAAAAAAAAAAGUAUGUUAAAUAAAACCUAGGAUGGCUGACCUUACACACUCGGAUUAUUUUUUUUUUUAGUGUUCUCUGCCUGAAACGAAUUAGCUUGUGCUAAUUAGCCCUAAAUGGUGAAUUGCUAGGGAGGCAGCUGUGGAUGCAGUCAGACACCAAAAUCUCGUUCCUGGUGAAAUGAGAGGCCAGGUGAGCCUGUCCAGUUGGCACGGGUGUUGUUACUCUGAAGACCUGUGCUGGGUACCCCAGCUGGUUACAACAGGAGAAAAAGCAGGAGAGGCUAUAUAAGCAUGAAGGCUUUGGGAAAAUAAAGAGAAAUAAAAACGCCAUCUUCCUGCUCGCUGCUGUCCCACACAAAAAAGAAAAUCUCACCAUGUAACUCCUGAAUUACAGGAAUUCCUGGAGCCCCAGCAAACUCUGUCUAAUCUCUCCCAGUCCCUCACGUAUCGCCUCUGAAUGUUUUCAGUGAGUUCCCAGACCUCGUGCUUUCUUGCUCCUGAUAACUAGCCAUUGCUGGGAUGCCAGAACCACUGCACUGCAUAGUUCAGCUAUCAACAGAAAUAUAGUGAGAUAAAGGGGAUGGUUAAUACCAGAGUGUCUGGGGUAAUGCAGAUGUCAGAGAUACUCAACUGGCUUUCCCGGACGAGUUCUUUAAACGGGUCAAGUUACUUUGGGAAAAUAGUAUCUAGCUCUUUUGAAAGUGUGAACAUCCACAAGAACAUCAUGCGGAUAUUUCCUCCUGUUGAAGAGUCAGGCAUCCAUCAAAUACAUCCAUAGUGCUUCGGAGCCUUGGCAAAGUAACGCCACCUCAUCCGGGACUUUCUGAAGAUAGCCUCCUGGGCACUGAGCGGGUUUGGAAAGCUCCGAGUGGAACUGAAGAUGAAAAGCUGGCCCGAAUGCAGGGCAACGAGUUCCUUUGAGAAUUAAGUCCAUAAAAAAAAUGAAAUCUGAUAGAGGAGCUGAAGGAUUUAUUGAAAUGGAUGAGCAAUUGUAGGAUCGCAGAUGCCAAAGAGGAAGAAUAGGGCUGUUGGGUCUUCCUGCCAGGUCAGGGCUGUCUAGUCCAGCAACCUGGUCUGUUGUUUCCAUUGAGGGCUUCCAUUGCUUCCCUUCUGAGACCAUUGUGUUUCCUGAUAGGAAAACGUAGUAACAAUGAGAUCUGACUCCCAGGGUAAAUUUUUUGUCCAUCUAAUUGCUGGCUAAUAUUCUUAGUCAUUUUAAUGGGAAGUAUGUACUCCAAGAAGAGAGAGAAGGGAUUUCUUGGGGCCCUCAGAUGAUGUGCCAUUGCCAAUGGCACUUUCACCAGCGUGAAAAUCUUGCUUCUAGCUUUGGAAUGUCUUUAAGCUCUGGUGAACUCAUGAAUGAAAUGAGUGCUCAUCCCUCCUUCUGAGCCUCAUCAGUGGGAUGUUCUGGCUCUUUGUGCCCAAAUAACCCGGUGUAAUGCACUACUGGGUGUGUCAGAGCAAAUGUGCUCUUGGCAUGUGGAAAGUGCAGGGCAGAACAUGAAUUUGAGAUAAAACUUCCGCAUUUGAGGCGGAUCCCACUGAGCAGUGGUGGCUUGAGCACAUUUGGGAGUUUAUAGCUGCUAUGGGUAUGGGUCCAGAGGGUGACUGGAGACGCUCAUGCUUGAGAAGCUCUGGAGAAGUGCAAAAUGAUAAUGGUUAUGCCAGCCCAGGACUUUAUCCGGGACUUUAUCUGGGACUCUUAUCCCUUUGCACUGAGUCGGGGAAGCAAAGGCAGGAAAGAGGAGACUGCAUUUAUUCCUCCAUUCAUGGGGAUGCUGCACGCCCCCAUUUAUAGAGGGGGCUUGGUCUCAGCUGUGAAGGCAGCUGCCAGUCUGCCCCUUCUGACUGUUAUUUAAUGCUUGUUAAAGGAACUCACCCUUUAGUUUAGAUUCAGCAUUUCACUCGAUAGCUUUCUGUGCAGCCACCGGGGCUGGGAAAAGGGAGGGAAGAGGAAUCCCAAGAGCAGUAGCAAGACAGAGGAGAAUAGCCAGGGAAGGGAAAAAAAUAUAAGGACAUUGUUUCUAACAGCACUUAGUGGCCUAGAUUUUCUUUUCACAGCUAUUUCAAAAGUCUGCUUUAUUGUCGACCCAUUCAGCUUUUAUUGGUAUAUAGUACACUGGGUAGCAGCAGCCACCGUUGUCUGCAUGGCUCUUAACAUGAUACUCUGCCAGAUGGCAAGAAUAUAAACCUGCGUUUGUACUCUGGGAUUGAUCAAAGUUUUUUGCUGUUGUCACCCCUGUAACAUUGUCACAGAUGUAAGGCUACUACACCCUGGCUCUCAUCCCCGCUACCUCCCCGUGUAUAAGUGCAGUACAGUGCCCCUUUUCACAGAGAUAUAAUGCCCGCAUUCCUUACAUCCCAAGGAUAACCCCGUGCAGGGGAGGAUGCACUGCGAGGUUUCACCAGGAGGUUUUUAGACAAGGGUUGUGCACAGGCGUGUGCAGGGAGUGAAGCUGCCUGGGGGGGUAGACCUCUAGUAGAUGGAAAUCAGCAGCCCAGCUACGUAACCGUGCCGAGCUACUCCAGGGCAGAACCCAGCCUGGGAUCUCAGCAGGAAUCCCAGAAAGGAAAGGGAUUUGGGAGCGAUUAAAAAAAAAAAAAAUACGCAAGGCAAUGUUCAGUGGUUUGGGAUUAACAAAACUUGAUGGAAGAGAGAAGCUGUCUUGGAAGGGGAGUGGGACUGUGCCUCUGUCACGGGCAAAGAGAAAUCCCACUCUAUGCGGGGAAGAGAUGCAGGGGUCCUCCUCCUUGAAGAUUGCUGAGGUCA